rnacentral:rRNA from 1 species
AGUGAACGCUGGCGGUAGGCCUAACACAUGCAAGUCGAACGGCAGCACAGUAAGAGCUUGCUCUUACGGGUGGCGAGUGGCGGACGGGUGAGGAAUACAUCGGAAUCUACUUUUUCGUGGGGGAUAACGUAGGGAAACUUACGCUAAUACCGCAUACGACCUACGGGUGAAAGCAGGGGAUCUUCGGACCUUGCGCGAUUGAAUGAGCCGAUGUCGGAUUAGCUAGUUGGCGGGGUAAAGGCCCACCAAGGCGACGAUCCGUAGCUGGUCUGAGAGGAUGAUCAGCCACACUGGAACUGAGACACGGUUCAGACUCCUACGGGAGGCAGCAGUGGGGAAUAUUGGACAAUGGGCGUAAGCCUGAUCCAGCCAUACCGCGUGGGUGAAGAAGGCCUUCGGGUUGUAAAGCCCUUUUGUUGGGAAAGAAAAGCAGCAGGUUAAUACCCCGCUGUUCUGACGGUACCCAAAGAAUAAGCACCGGCUAACUUCGUG